rnacentral:tRNA from 1 species
GCCAGGCUGGCUCAGUUAGUUGAGCAUGUGACUCUUGAUCUCAGGGUUGUGAGUUCGAGCCCCACACUGGGCA